AAAUUUCUACCUUGAGUUUAGAAGGUGAAUGUCAAUUGGAUCGUGUGGUUGUGUUUUCCAUGUAAACUUGAUUAGCUUUUAAGAUUCUGCUCAUUAUGUUACUUUUCUGUCGGCAUCAUGAUAACCAACAAAUUUGUAUUUUUAGUGCUCUUCAAAAUUUCAAAUGCAGGAUCACUUCAAAGUUCAAUCAUGAUAGUUUAUCCAUAGUAUUUCAGCAGGCAAUGUAGAGCAAUCAUAUUUUCUUUAGUAGGUAUUAAUAAGUUAGGAGAGGCUUAGGAUGUGGCAUAGUGAGUUCAAGAGUACUUUAAACCUUCUUUAUAUUCAUUGUUUUUUCAACUAGGAGAAUUUGUACCUCAUACAUUGUUUGUGUUGCAGAGGUUUAAGCUGAUAAUCAACAGCUAUGUUUUGUGACUGUA
rnacentral:misc_RNA from 1 species